AGGGAUCAUUGCUGGAACGCGCUUCGGCGCACCCAGAAACCCUUUGUGAACUUAUACCUAUUUGUUGCCUCGGCGUAGGCCGGCCUCUUCACUGAGGCCCCCUGGAAACAGGGAGCAGCCCGCCGGCGGCCAACUAAACUCUUGUUUCUAUAGUGAAUCUCUGAGUAAAAACAUAAAUGAAUCAAAACUUUCAACAACGGAUCUCUUGGUUCUGGCAUCGAUGAAGAACGCAGCGAAAUGCGAUAAGUAAUGUGAAUUGCAGAAUUCAGUGAAUCAUCGAAUCUUUGAACGCACAUUGCGCCCUCUGGUAUUCCGGAGGGCAUGCCUGUUCGAGCGUCAUUUCAACCCUCAAGCCUGGCUUGGUGAUGGGGCACUGCCUUCUAACGAGGGCAGGCCCUGAAAUCUAGUGGCGAGCUCGCUAGGACCCCGAGCGUAGUAGUUAUAUCUCGUUCUGGAAGGCCCUGGCGGUGCCCUGCCGUUAAACCCCCAACUUCUGAAAAUUUGACCUCGGAUCAGGUAGGAAUACCCGCUGA
rnacentral:rRNA from 1 species